AGGCAGAGACGAACAUUUUACAUUCAGUCUCAGAAGACAAAGGUGCAACCCAACCCUCCACUGUACAGCUCUCAGGACCAGAGCCUGUCUUCUCCAGACUACAAGAUGAGAACUGCAGUAUGUGCCAUCCUUCUCCUGAUGCUUCUGUGUCAAGGAGAAGCUCUGAGAUGCAACGUCUGCGCCCCAG